rnacentral:lncRNA from 1 species
UCUUUCCACGGAGGUCAGGGAGGACGUCCGCAAGCUCCGGUUGAAAGACAAGCAUGCAGGCCUAAAGGGAGAAGGAGGCAGUGGAUCAGAGGUUCUCGCAGCUUACAUGGGAAAAUACUCUCAAUGCCAAAAGCUUCUAGGACCCGUGAGAGGCUCAGCAGGAAACAAGGACCAAGAGCUACCUUCACCCCACUAACACUGAAUGGAGUGGCAUAUACCUGUACUUCUAGUACCUGGGAGGUCACAAGUUCAAGGCCAGUGUGGGAUACAAAGAAAGUUUGAGACGGGUGCUACAGUGCCAGGGAUGAAGAAGAUGGCCACAGGACUCUGGAUGCUGAGUUCCGUGAUGUAGGUGAUUUUGAUGAGGACUUUAGCCCGAGGGGGUUUCUGAAAGACCUUACAGGGAUGCCUUCUGUGUUACGGCUUGGUGAAAGGUGGACAUACUGAUAGACCCUGUUGACUGACCUGAGGACCGGGCCAUGACUGGAGCAUGGGAAAAAGACAUUUUACAGAGGGAUACUGUCUACUCCCAAUGUGUGUGUUCUCUUAUCAGUCUGGCAGUCGAGUGCCUGGUGGCAGUACCAGUUCUUCUGCUUCACACAACAGCGACUUCAUUUCCUCCUUUAGACAACGCACGUGGGUAUGACUGGCUUGACCUCCUGUACUCCUAAGGGGUUUUCAUUUGUGUGUUUGAGACAAAGUCUUGCUAGGAAGCUCUGACAGGCUAGAGCUCACAGUGUAGAACAACAGGUGAGCCUUGAACUUGCAGCAAUUCUCCUGCCUCUACCUCUCAAGGGCUGAGAUUAUGGUAUAUGCCACCACGUGUGACAUUUAAGAGAAAUCUCAUAAGCUCAGAGUACUGUAAAUAAUCUUGGCUUCUAUUAUGGAUUCAUAUUGCAAAUCAUUUCCCAUAAUGCAUGGGCUACAGAAUGAGUGACAAGCUGUACCGGAGUGUCCUGGUCCAUCAAGUAAGCACCAUGGCCUUGGCUGACAGCCUCUGCCACAGAAGAUACACACCUGGGCUACGAAGUCUAUUACUCUUCCCUUAAUGUGAACACUGUCAAGAGGAACAGGAUUCGCAGAUGCAUCCUGAAGGCCGGCUUUGAUGUUUGUGAAGGGCUUGAUGUCUGGUAACUGGAAAUCUACAAGUUACAAACACAACGUCAGCUUCAGAACAAGCAUGGCUCCGUCUUCAUCGUUGGCAUCCUUACUACUUGCUCUAUUAUUGAGACAUUAUACUUCAGCAGAGAUGGACAAAUAGUAUUACACUCAUAGUAUUCGAUGAGCUUUUUGUUCAAGAUA